rnacentral:tRNA from 1 species
CGGGGUGUGGCGCAGCCUGGCUAGCGCACUUGCUUUGGGAGCAAGGGGCCGUCGGUUCAAAUCCGACCACCCCGA